AGGCGGAAAGGCGAAUUAGUCGACAAUGGGCAACGGAGGCAGAAGAUCGACAUUGUCCAGAACCAUAAGCACCAUCUCGCAGAGCAAUUUCGGCCGUGCUGUCACCUUGAACUUCUCAGUUGCCUUGAAGAAAUGGAACGAAGCUAAAAAAACAGAUUCGGCCUAUGUGGACACCAACUACCUCCUAGGGACCGUCUGAACUGUUUGGUUUGGGGCAGUCAAGGAUAUGCUGGAAGAUAGCUUUGAAGAGUGGAAUGCUGAUUCUACAAAGCAAGAUCUGAAGAUGAAUUUCUUUUUUUUUUUCAUAUUAGAAAUUUAUAAAUUGUUUAGGCUUCAAUAUAUUUAAAAAAAUUUAAUUAUUUGAAAGACUGUUUCAAUUGUCACAAAAGUAAAUGUAACGACUCCGACAAAUUAGUAAAUGUCAAUAUUAUGAAUAUGUUUUUAAUGAAAUUGAAUGUAGAGCAUUUUUAUUGAAUAUACUAGUUAGCCUUACCAUUAGUUUAUCAUCUCUAAUUUGCCUAUCUGUAAAACAGCAAUCCUAGAACAAUAGUUAUUUGUUCUAAAAUUUUAUCAAAGCAUAAUAAUACCUAGUUACACAUUAUUACAUAACAAGAAAAUCAUAUUAAUGCUAUUUUGUACAUUUAUAAUCGAAAACAUGUUAUCUACCAUGUGAAGGAAUCGUGUGACAAAUAUAUCAUGUUAUAUUGUUUUGUAAAUAAAUAAUUUCUUAAACAAA